GCAGAAACAAAUACUUUCCCGGAUGCUAGAGCUAGGCAUGACUCCAGUUCUGCCAUCAUUCUCUGGAAAUGUUCCAGCAACAUUACAGAAGAUAUGUCCUUCAGCUAACAUUACUAGACUUGGGGAUUGGAACACUGUAAAUGGCGAUAAGCGAUGGUGUUGUACUUACCUUCUUGCUCCUUCUGAUCCUUUGUUCGUUGAACUUUGAGCAGCUUUUAUUAAACGACAAAUCGAAGAAUAUGGAGAUGUGACAGAUAUAUACAACUGGUAAUUCUUUGCAUUUGCAUUUUAUUAAUGUUCAAAUAACUUCACUACUUUAA